rnacentral:rRNA from 1 species
UACGUAGGGUGCGAGCGUUGUCCGGAUUCACUGGGUGUAAAGGGAGCGCAGGCGGAUUGACAAGUCAUUGGUGAAAUUCUCAGGCUCAACUUGAGGACGUCCAAUGAUACUGUCAAUCUUGAGUGCGGAAGAGGAAGACGGAAUUCCUGGUGUAGCGGUGAAAUGCGUAGAUAUCAGGAAGAACACCGGUGGCGAAGGCGGUCUUCUGGUCCGCUACUGACGCUCAUGCUCGAAAGCGUGGGGAGCAAAC